rnacentral:rRNA from 1 species
UACAGAGGUGGCAAGCGUUGUUCGGAAUUACUGGGCGUAAAGGGCGCGUAGGCGGCCUUCUAAGUCAGACGUGAAAUCCCCGGCUUAACCUGGGAACUGCGUCUGAUACUGGGAGGCUUGAGUAUGGGAGAGGGAUGUAGAAUUCCAGGUGUAGCGGUGAAAUGCGUAGAUAUCUGGAGGAAUACCGGUGGCGAAGGCGGCAUCCUGGACCAUAACUGACGCUGAGGAGCGAAAGCGUGGGGAGCGAACAGG